rnacentral:lncRNA from 1 species
UGGGGGUUUCAUUGACCACCCAAAUUAACCUGGUAAUCUGCAUUUCAUAGAAAAAAAUCUGUUAAAUCUGAUUAAUCUGCAUUGAGUUAUGGGAAUCUGAAAUUUCUGAUUUGUCAAUUUGCUUCUAUUUGGGGGUUUCCUUGACUACCCAAAUUAAUCCGGUAAUCUGCAUUCUAUAGAAACAAAUCUGUUGUAUCUGAUUAAUCUGCAUAUAGUAAUGAGAAUAUGAAAUUUCUAACCAAUUUGCUUAUAUAUGGGGUUUCAAUAACCACCCUAAUUAUCUGGUAGUCUGCAUUAGAUAGAAAUUAUGUCUAAAGUAUCUGUGCAAUCAACAUAUAUAUUUAGGAAACCUUAACAAUCUACUUAGCUGCAUUCAUAUUCUUUUUUAUCAGAUCCGAAACUAUCUGAUAUUUGUUGUUUUAUGAUCUGUGAUUUGUCUUGUUUUUCUAUCCCUGAUUUAUGAUAGUAAGUCCUUAGAUGAGCAAGGAUUCCAGUAGGCUGGUAGUGUGUUGUUGAUUGGGGUUGGUCUGGGUAAUUGUGUCGAUGCCCAAGUCGAAUUUGUUAGUUGAUUGCCUGAUUUGUUUGGUGCCCCCUUUCUGAUUUGAUUGGGACCUCCCCUUCCACCUCCUUGGAUUAGUUGCUGCUAGUUGGAUGGGUGAUGUUUUCUGGGUAUUUGGAUUUGGAUCCCUUUAAUUUGUUUCCGAUGGCUAGUCAGAUUUACUCCUUCACACCUCCGGUUAAUGAACUUUUUUCAUCUGCAAAAUUCAUAUGCCAAUGACAGUGAGAGUGAUGGUUUUCAUGAAUCGAUCUUAUGGAAGGAGUUAUCUUUUUUUUCCUCCCAUGAUGUUAUCUUGAAAAUUCUAAACUCUCCCUCAUGCCAAAUUAGUUGCCUAGGUUAAGUACAUGAAAAAAUUACUGUUAUGACAGUAGGUAUUCAGGUGUCAUUUCUAUAUCCGUCACAUGUAAUUUCUAUGUAUUUGAGACUUAUAUUCUUUUUUGUCAAUUCUCCUAUUGUAUCCAUGUCAUAGGAGUAUGAUUAAAAGCUGACUGGCUGCUUAUUUUUUAUACGAGUAUGAUUAAAAGUUGAUUGGCUGCUCAUUUUUAAGUUCCACUACAUUUACUCAUUGACUGCGCGCACGCUUAACAUUGAUUCAACGACUGCAAUGAAUUUUCCAUUUGUAUUUGUGGGGUUCCAAUAGCUCCCCCAAAUCUGUAGUUUUGGAAACCUACAAAGUAUUUGAAUAAGUCUGAGCUUUGUGUAUUUGAGACUUAUAUUCUUUUUUGUCAAUUCUCCUAUUGUAUCCAUGUCAUAGGAGUAUGAUUAAAAGCUGACUGGCUGCUUAUUUUUUAUAGGAGUAUGAUUAAAAGCUGAUUGGCUGCUCAUUUUUAAGUUCCACUACAUUUACUCAUUGACUCCGCGCACGCUUAACAUUGAUUCAACAACUGCAAUGAAUUUUCCAUUUGUAUGUGUGGGGUUCCAAUAGCUCCCCCAAAUCUGUAGUUUUGGAAACCUACAAAGUAUUUGAAUAAGUCUGAGCUUUGUGAGCUUUUUUUUAAUUUCUGUCAGCUACAUCUGUGCGGUUCAAAUACCUCCCCCAUCAUCUAUCAAUUUGGAAACCAUAGAAAUAUUUUGAAGAAAUCUGCCCUUUUCUGAAUUUUUGAAAUGGUGACAUUUGCAUAUGAGGGGUUUAGCUAGCUACCCCAAUUUCUGUACCUUUUGAAACCAUAGAACUAUUUUGAAUUAGUGUGCAUCUGAUAAUUUGUUUAAAGUAUUUUACAUAUGUAGAAUCGUUUGUUAUUUUGAAUAUCUGCCAUUUGUCUUAAUGCUGUUGUGCUCUAGCUCCAUUUAUUGACCAUUAUGAAUCAAUACCUUUUGGAACCAGUCCAUAUAUUAUAUUAUUUUUAUUUGGGAAAAGCUAACCAUUAUUUGAGCAUUGUGACACUCCAUCACUCGAUUUUGGAGCUGGCCGAUCUGCCUAGGAGUUGUUUCUGACCCUUCAAUGGUUAGGUGGGCUGCCCGGUGGGAUUCUUUUUUCUUCUUCUUCUUUACUGUUUCUAGGACCCAGCAAAUGUCCUGCUCUUUUCGGAUGGGAAGAGCUGCAUCUUGAAGUUGCAAGUCAUUUCGUACUCCUCUCUUUGGUUUCAGUCAGGUGUGGCAAUUCCCUGGCUUCACAUUUUAUUGGCUGUGUAUAGUGCCCCUUACUUGAAUUUACUCUGAUAAUCUCACUGUCAAUUUAUUGUAUUGAAGCUGUAAUCAAACAAAUACUAACAAUAUUUUGCUUCUACAUUUAAACAACUAGUAUGUAAAACAUAGCUAGCAGUUUGUAAUUAAACAAAAAUGUCAGCUUCUACUUAUGGUCUAUGCAAUCAAAGAACUACUAGCUUGCUUCCUACUAUAUGAUACUGUAAAAAUGGUUAGUUUGGUUUUUGCAUUGUGUUUUGUUGAAAAUGUCAGUUUCUUCCUACUAUAUGAUACUGUAAAAAUGGUUAGUUUGUUUUUUUUGCAUUGUGUUCUGUUGAAAAUGUCAGUUUCUUCCUACUAUAUGAUACUGUAAAAAUGGUUAGUUUGAUUUUUUGCAUUGUGUUUUGUUGAAAAUGUCAGUUUCUUCUGCAUAUUGUCAGACUGCUAAUUCUUUUUUGCUGACUGUUAAUAAUUUAUGAAGCAUGUGGUGUGAAGUCACAUGUAGAGAUUUUUGUUCACAGUUGCAUCUCUGACCAUGAAAAAGUCCACAAUGUCCAGUAUUUACCAAUAAUAUAUAUCAAUGAAUCUAUUUUUAUGCUUUAUAAUUAUAUGGCUAUUUUUCUCCUGAUGCUAAUGCGUUAUGCACCUGUGAUCAUAUACAGUGUUUUGACAUUAUUUUUACAGUGAUUAUCUUGCUGCUAGUUUGGUGUAUUGACACUGUCAAACUGUCAAUGUUGUUCUGAGUCUAAGGUUUUUGUACGCAUCAAGUCUGAUUUUUUUCAUUGUCUGCAUCAGCAUGAUGUCUUUUUAUCUCACAAAAUUUAUCCUUUUUUCCCCAGAUGGCUUGCAACUAUGAGGCUUGUCAAUUUUGAGAGGGGGUCUGUUGAAUGUGUAGUACUCCUUCGGAAUUGCUUUGUGCUGGCUUCGGAUUUUGCAUCGGUUAACCCCCAACUUGGUGAUGCUUUGGUGAACAGGGUAGCGGUGAUGAUUUGCAUAUGGUUUUUUUAUGCACUCCCCUCUACUUCUGAAGAUUUGUAAAUCAUAGAUUUUGAAUGAAUCUUUGUCAUCUAUGUCAUUUGCAGGCUAUCUCAUUUUGCAUUUGAGGGUUUCAUUAC